rnacentral:misc_RNA from 1 species
CAAUUACAAUAUUUCUAAUAAUUUCUAAGAAGACCUAAUAACAAUUAGCAAAAAGAAAAUAAAGUCAUAAUUCAUAAAACAUUUUUAAUCCAAUAAUAAAACUAAAAGCUAAUAAAAGUCAUUGAAUUAGCAUAUUAUUAGCAUCUCAAGUUGUCAAGUCUCAACUCUCAACAUAUUUUCACAUAUUCAUAAUAAACAAUAUGUCAAAAUCAUAAAUUUAUACUAAAAAAAAAGGAAA